UGUAUUUUUAUUUUAUUUUUAUUUUUAUUAACACACUAAGGGUUAAAUAUUUAGUACAUAAUUUUCUUAGGAACGAUCCUUAUGCUGUCAAUUGCAAUUAGUCAGAUGUAUAUUUAUAACCAGCACAGACUACUGAAUCCUUAUUCCGUCUCUGAUGAAGUGGGGCUGACACCCACGAAACGCGUUAGACCAUAUCAGACUGAGCAGGAUACGGACGCAGAAUUUUGAAGCCAGCAACAAGCAACCUCUUCUUACCGAGAGUGUGAUAUCCAAAGAUCUGGGGACCGAUUGGCCAACAAGCGUGGGACGCACGCCAACCUCACAGCCGACAGCCAGAGAUUACAGUUUAUGCAACACUGUAUCCACAUCCAUCCCUGCGGUUUAUCUGAUACAAGGACUGCCUAAGUGCUGGUAAUAUUCUUGCAAUACGUUCCUG